GUUAUAAACUGACGGUGUACACCAGGUGUAUCAUGUUAUAAACUGACGGUGUACACCAGGUGUAUCCUAUUAUAAACUGACGGUGUACACCAGGUGUAUCCUCUAUAAACUGACGGUGUACACCAGGUGUAUCCUCUAUAAACUGACGGUGUACACCAGGUGUAUCCUCUAUAAACUGACGGUGUACACCAGGUGUAUCCUAUUAUAAACUGACGGUGUACACCAGGUGUAUCCUGUUAUAAACUGACGGUGUACACCAGGUGUAUCCUGUUAUAAACUGACGGUGUACACCAGGUGUAUCCUGUUAUAAACUGACGGUGUACACCAGGUGUAUCCUGUUAUAAACUGACGGUGUACACCAGGUGUAUCCUGUUAUAAACUGACGGUGUACACCAGGUGUAUCCUGUUAUAAACUGACGGUGUACACCAGGUGUAUCCUGUUAUAAACUGACGGUGUACACCAGGUGUAUCCUGUUAUAAACUGACGGUGUACACCAGGUGUAUCCUGUUAUAAACUGACGGUGUACACCAGGUGUAUCCUGUUAUAAACUGACGGUGUACACCAGGUGUAUCCUGUUAUAAACUGACGGUGUACACCAGGUGUAUUCUGUUAUAAACUGACGGUGUACACCAGGUGUAUCCUGUUAUAAACUGACGGUGUACACCAGGUGUAUCCUGUUAUAAACUGACACCAGGUGUAUCCUGUUAUAAACUGACGGUGAGAUGGUCUGGAUGAUGUAGACGUCUUUCCCUCUGACCGACUCCUGGAUCUGGAUACGCGUUUCUAUGGAGACAAGAGGUCAGGUCAGGGGUCACACAGAACCAUCAUCCUCCUCCUCCUCCU